rnacentral:rRNA from 1 species
CUACGGGAGGCUGCAGUGGGGAAUAUUGCACAAUGAAGGAAACUCUGAUGCAGCAACGCCGCGUGGAGGAUGACACUUUUCGGAGCGUAAACUCCUUUUAUAUAGGAAGAAGAUGACGGUACUAUAUGAAUAAGCGCCGGCUAACUCCGUGCCAGCAGCCGCGGUAAUACGGAGGGCGCAAGCGUUACUCGGAAUCACUGGGCGUAAAGAGCGUGUAGGCGGAUUAAAAAGUCAGAAGUGAAAUCCUAUAGCUUAACUAUAGAACUGCUUCUGAAACUCUUAAUCUAGAAUAUGGGAGAGGUAGAUGGAAUUUCUGGUGUAGGGGUAAAAUCCGUAGAGAUCAGAAGGAAUACCGAUUGCGAAGGCGAUCUACUAGAACAUUAUUGACGCUGAGACGCGAAAGCGUGGGGAGCAAACAGGAUUAGAUACCCUAGUAGUC